rnacentral:rRNA from 1 species
UACGAAGGGAGCUAGCGUUGUUCGGAAUCACUGGGCGUAAGGCGCACGUAGGCGGAUGUGUCAGUCAGGGGUGAAAUCCCGGAGCUCAACUUCGGAACUGCCUUUGAUACAGCACGUCUUGAGUCCGGAAGAGGUGGGUGGAAUUCCUAGUGUAGAGGUGAAAUUCGUAGAUAUUAGGAAGAACACCGGUGGCGAAGGCGGCCCACUGGUCCGGUACUGACGCUGAGGUGCGAAAGCGUGGGGAGCAAACAGG